UACGUAGGGUGCAAGCGUUGUCCGGAAUUAUUGGGCGUAAAGAGCUCGUAGGCGGUUUGUCGCGUCUGCCGUGAAAGUCCGGGGCUCAACUCCGGAUCUGCGGUGGGUACGGGCAGACUAGAGUGAUGUAGGGGAGACUGGAAUUCCUGGUGUAGCGGUGAAAUGCGCAGAUAUCAGGAGGAACACCGGUGGCGAAGGCGGGACUCUGGGCCGAUACUGACGCUGAGGAGCGAAAGCGUGGGGAGCAAACAGG
rnacentral:rRNA from 1 species